GUCGAGCGCCCCGCAAGGGGAGCGGCAGACGGGUGAGUAACGCGUGGGAACGUACCCUUUACUACGGAAUAACGCAGGGAAACUUGUGCUAAUACCGUAUGUGCCCUUCGGGGGAAAGAUUUAUCGGUAAGGGAUCGGCCCGCGUUGGAUUAGCUAGUUGGUGGGGUAAAGGCCUACCAAGGCGACGAUCCAUAGCUGGUCUGAGAGGAUGAUCAGCCACAUUGGGACUGAGACACGGCCCAAACUCCUACGGGAGGCAGCAGUGGGGAAUAUUGGACAAUGGGCGCAAGCCUGAUCCAGCCAUGCCGCGUGAGUGAUGAAGGCCCUAGGGUUGUAAAGCUCUUUCACCGGAGAAGAUAAUGACGGUAUCCGGAGAAGAAGCCCCGGCUAACUUCGUGCCA
rnacentral:rRNA from 1 species